rnacentral:tRNA from 1 species
GGGCCGGUAACUCAGUGGUAGAGUGUAGGACUGCAGUGACAUUUCUGUCUUCCCGAAGUCACCGGUUCGACUCCGGUUCGGCCCU